GUUGGGGCCUGAGCAGCUGCUGGGUAUGUCAGCAGCCUGGGCUCUGGCGGGCAGGACGGCAGCCAGAGAGGCCGGUGGCUGGCUGGGGAGCCCAGAGGAGGCUCCGAUUCCCUUCCUGAAUAUUCAUGGAUCAGCAGAUGUCUGGCUUCGCCACCUCUGAGGAGCCAAGCACCCAGCAAGGUAGAACAGGGAAACCAACAGGGAUGUAGAUGAGGAGGGAACCAGCCCACCCUGGCCCAGAAGCCUGGCCACACCAACUGCCACUACGCCGGUUGCCUCCAUCCUCUCUUCUGGAUUACUACAACAGCCUCCCAAGAAGCUGGAGCUUCCUGCUUCCAGUCCCGCCCCACUGACCGAUUCUCCACACUGGCUGCAGGAGCUGAUGCAAAGCUGAUUUUAAAACUUGCCAAGGGCUCAGGCAGGCUCUCAGGCCAGAAACCUUGGUGGGACUUAUAAAGUCCUUCAGGAGCUGGGCCCAGCCCCCAUCUUCA